UACGAAGGGGGCUAGCGUUGCUCGGAAUCACUGGGCGUAAAGCGCACGUAGGCGGAUCUUUAAGUCAGGGGUGAAAUCCUGGAGCUCAACUCCAGAACUGCCUUUGAUACUGGGGAUCUCGAGUCCGGAAGAGGUGAGUGGAACUCCGAGUGUAGAGGUGAAAUUCGUAGAUAUUCGGAAGAACACCAGUGGCGAAGGCGGCUCACUGGUCCGGUACUGACGCUGAGGUGCGAAAGCUAGGGGAGCAAACGGGG
rnacentral:rRNA from 1 species